AUUGAACGCUGGCGGCAUGCCUUACACAUGCAAGUCGAACGGCAGCGCGGGAGCAAUCCUGGCGGCGAGUGGCGAACGGGUGAGUAAUACAUCGGAACGUGCCCAAUCGUGGGGGAUAACGCAGCGAAAGCUGUGCUAAUACCGCAUACGAUCUACGGAUGAAAGCAGGGGAUCGCAAGACCUUGCGCGAAUGGAGCGGCCGAUGGCAGAUUAGGUAGUUGGUGAGGUAAAGGCUCACCAAGCCUUCGAUCUGUAGCUGGUCUGAGAGGACGACCAGCCACACUGGGACUGAGACACGGCCCAGACUCCUACGGGAGGCAGCAGUGGGGAAUUUUGGACAAUGGGCGCAAGCCUGAUCCAGCCAUGCCGCGUGCAGGAUGAAGGCCUUCGGGUUGUAAACUGCUUUUGUACGGAACGAAACGGCUCUUUCUAAUAAAGAGGGCUAAUGACGUACCGUAAGAAUAAG
rnacentral:rRNA from 1 species